rnacentral:rRNA from 1 species
UGGGGAAUAUUGGACAAUGGGCGCAAGCCUGAUCCAGCCAUGCCGCGUGUGUGAAGAAGGCCUUCGGGUUGUAAAGCACUUUUGUUGGGGAAGAAAACCUGUUGGUUAAUACCCGGCGGGAAUGACGGUACCCAAAGAAUAAGCACCGGCUAACUUCGUGCCAGCAGCCGCGGUAAUACGAAGGGUGCAAGCGUUACUCGGAAUUACUGGGCGUAAAGCGUGCGUAGGUGGUUCGUUAAGUCUGCCGUGAAAGCCCCGGGCUCAACCUGGGAAUGGCGGUGGAUACUGGCGGACUAGAGUGCGGUAGAGGGUGGUGGAAUUCCCGGUGUAGCAGUGAAAUGCGUAGAGAUCGGGAGGAACAUCUGUGGCGAAGGCGGCCACCUGGACCAGCACUGACACUGAGGCACGAAAGCGUGGGGAGCAAACAGG